rnacentral:tRNA from 1 species
GAUUCCAUAGCUCAGUUGGUAGUAGCGGAUGACUGUUAAUCAUCAGGUCCCAGGUUCGAGUCCUGGUGGAAUCG